UGGCUAAGAGAUGAAUGAAAAAUGAAUGGAAGAAAAUAAUACAGGGAACAAGACUUGGUCAGGAGAAUUUUUUUAAAAUAAAAAAUUAUUUUUUAUUGAUUAUUAGCGAUGAAAAAAAAUUCAUCACUAGUUAUGUAAUUAGCGAUGAAAUUCUAUAUUUUUAUCGUAAAUAAUAUUUUUUCGGAGGGGUAAACUUUUUCAGUAAAUUUUUUUUUGACGG
rnacentral:lncRNA from 1 species